UACGUAGGGUGCAAGCGUUAAUCGGAAUUACUGGGCGUAAAGCGUGCGCAGGCGGUUUUGUAAGUCUGACGUGAAAUCCCCGGGCUUAACCUGGGAAUUGCGUUGGAGACUGCAAGGCUGGAGUCUGGCAGAGGGGGGUAGAAUUCCACGUGUAGCAGUGGAAAUGCGUAGAGAUGUGGAGGAACACCGAUGGCGAAGGCAGCCCCCUGGGUCAAGACUGACGCUCAUGGCGACCGAAAGGC
rnacentral:rRNA from 1 species